rnacentral:ncRNA from 1 species
GAAGGUUUGGCCCUUCGGAGUCGCCUUUCGGGAGGAGGCUUCAAACCACCACGCAUAUGCUGCGUUGGCUGAAGACCGUCGUGGUGAGCGAUGUGGAAAAGGCGCCGUGA